rnacentral:rRNA from 1 species
GACGAACGCUGGCGGCGUGCCUAAUACAUGCAAGUAGGACGCAGUUGCGUACGUGUGAUUAACGCGUAGGUAACUACCUAUUAGAGGGGGAUAACUAUUGGAAACGAUAGCUAAUACCGCAUACUAGUAGAUGGACCUGCGUUGUAUUAGCUAGUAGGUAGGGUAAUGGCCUACCUAGGCAAUGAUACAUAGGCGAGCUGGGAGGGUGGUCGGCCACAACUGGACUGAGGAACGGGCCAAACCCCUUCGGGGGGCAAGCAUAGGGAAACUUUGGCAAUGGGGGGAACCCCGACCGAGGAACGGCGGGGGGGGGGAGGAAGGUUUCGGAGCGUAAAGCUCUGUUGUUAAGGGAGCGGUACUUAACCAGAAAGGAACGGCUAACUACGUGCCAGCAGCCGCGGUAAUAC